GAUGAACGCUGGCGGCGUGCCUAAUACAUGCAAGUCGAGCGAACGGACGAGAAGCUUGCUUCUCUGAUGUUAGCGGCGGACGGGUGAGUAACACGUGGAUAACCUACCUAUGAGACUGGGAUAACUUCGGGAAACCGGAGCUAAUACCGGAUGAUAUUUUGAACCGCAUGGUUCAGAAGUGAAAGACGGUCUUGCUGUCACUUAUAGAUGGAUCCGCGCUGCAUUAGCUAGUUGGUAAGGUAACGGCUUACCAAGGCAACGAUGCAUAGCCGACCUGAGAGGGUGAUCGGCCACACUGGAACUGAGACACGGUCCAGACUCCUACGGGAGGCAGCAGUAGGGAAUCUUCCGCAAUGGGCGAAAGCCUGACGGAGCAACGCCGCGUGAGUGAUGAAGGUCUUCGGAUCGUAAAACUCUGUUAUUAGGGAAGAACAUAUGUGUAAGUAACUGUGCACAUCUUGACGGUACCUAAUCAGAAAGCCACGGCUAACUACGUG
rnacentral:rRNA from 1 species